GCCAUAGCUCAAUGGUAGAGCAAUCUGCUUUUUAUGCAGAAGGUCCCAGUUUAUCAAUUCUUCAUGGGAGAGAACU